GACGUAGGGUGCGAGCGUUGUCCGGAUUUAUUGGGCGUAAAGAGCUCUUAGGCGGCUCGUCGCGUCGACCGUGAAAACCCGCGGCUUAACUGCGGGCUUGCGGUUGAUACGGGCGGGCUAGAGUUCGGUAGGGGAGACUGGAAUUCCUGGUGUAGCGGUGAAAUGCGCAGAUAUCAGGAGGAACACCGGUGGCGAAGGCGGGUCUCUGGGCCGAUACUGACGCUGAGGAGCGAAAGCGUGGGGAGCGAACAGG
rnacentral:rRNA from 1 species